rnacentral:rRNA from 1 species
UGGCGAACGGGUGAGUAACACGUGGGCAACCUGCCCAAAAGAGGGGGAUAACACUUGGAAACAGGUGCUAAUACCGCAUAACCAUAGUUACCGCAUGGUAACUAUGUAAAAGGUGGCUAUACUACCGCUUUUUGGAUGGGCCCGCGGCGCAUUAGCUAGUUGGUAGGGUAAAGGCUUACCAAGGCAAUGAUGCGUAGCCGAAUUGAGAGGUUGAUCGGCCACAUUGGGACUGAGACACGGCCCAAACUCCUACGGGAGGCAGCAG